UGGCAGCUCACUGCAGCUGAAGUAAUAUAGGUCAUAAGACCCCCAUUUCAAGAGGGUCCUGCUGCAUACCCAGAAGGAAGGAAUACUGCACAGAGAAGCUAAGAGGAAUUUAAACAGACAGACCUUGCUGGACUUUCCUACUCAGUCUAUUAACAUUAGAUCAUACCCUUUCUGCCCAGUUAUUUUUCUCCAUGGCUGUCCGUACUUCAUUGAACCCAAGCCUAAAAAUGGGCAGUUUCC
rnacentral:lncRNA from 1 species